AGAGUUUGAUCAUGGCUCAGAACGAACGCUGGCGGCAUGCCUAACACAUGCAAGUCGAACGUGAUCCAGACUUCGGUUUGGUGAAAGUGGCAGACGGGUGAGUAACGCGUGGGAACCUGCCCUGUGGUAGGGAAUAACCGUGGGAAACUGCGGCUAAUACCCUAUGAGUCCUUCGGGAGAAAGAUUUAUCGCCAUAGGAGGGGCCCGCGUCGGAUUAGGUAGUUGGUGGGGUAACGGCCUACCAAGCCUUCGAUCCGUAGCUGGUCUGAGAGGAUGAUCAGCCACACUGGGACUGAGAUACGGCCCAGACUCCUACGGGAGGCAGCAGUGGGGAAUAUUGGACAAUGGGGGCAACCCUGAUCCAGCAAUGCCGCGUGGAUGAUGAAGGCCUUCGGGUUGUAAAGUCCUUUCGGCGGGGAAGAUGAUGACGGUACCCGCAGAAGAAGCCCCGGCUAACUUCGUGCCAGCAGCCGCGGUAAUACGAAGGGGGCUAGCGUUGUUCGGAAUUACUGGGCGUAAAGGGCGCGUAGGCUGUGCUGUAAGUCAGGCGUGAAAGCCCCGGGCUCAACCUGGGAAUUGCGCUUGAUACUGCGGCGCUGGAAGGUGGGAGAGGAUGGCGGAAUUCCCAGUGUAGAGGUGAAAUUCGUAGAUAUUGGGAAGAACACCGGUGGCGAAGGCGGCCAUCUGGCCCAUUUUUGACGCUGAGGCGCGAAAGCGUGGGGAGCAAACAGGAUUAGAUACCCUAGUAGUCC
rnacentral:rRNA from 1 species